GGUAGAAUGGCUGAGAGCUCAAGCGGUGGAUUGUAGCCCCAUUUACAGAGGUUCAAGUCCUCUUUCUGCCA
rnacentral:tRNA from 1 species